rnacentral:lncRNA from 1 species
CUCUGUUUAUUUGCAAAGGUAACGCACAAGAUAGAGAACUGCAAGUGAUAUCUUAUUUACAUUUCAUGUAAUAAUAUGCUUUUACUUUCAGCUUUAAACAGAAUGAGCUUCAAAAAAAAGCCUUUGAAAUUGUGGGAUGGCACAAACACGGUGACAAUGAAUCUGUAUGAUCUCGCCAAACAAAAUGAGCACAAAAAGCAUCGCUCAUUGCCGAGCAGAACCUUCCUUCACCCUCAGCCCUGCUCUUCCUCCACAGUGGGGUGGUCUCUCCUCUCUUUUCCAGCUCCGUUCAGGACAGGUGAAGACCAUCACACAGUGCAAGCUCCCUCUCUGCCAGCUCAGAGCACACAGGAGGAGCAAAAAUCCCCCCCAGGUUUGUAGGAUUUAAGUCUUCAGAGUGCACAUGCUCAGGCUUUAUUCUAAGCUUUUCAGGGAAGCAAAGAAGACAUGAGAUACCCCCUGUAAUCAUCUGCCUCUGGGAGCUGAUACCAGGUAUCAGAAGAGGUGGUGAAAUCACGGUGUUCAGAGCUGCCUUAUCCAGCUGUGGUGAGUAAUGUGUUUGCUGUAGUGACAAGCAAGUGUCACUGGAGCUGUGUGUGAAUAUUCUGCAUAAUUCCCAGUGCACAUCUUCAGAAAAAGAAGCCAGAAGUCCAAAGCAGAAAUGUGGAGAAGAGGGGUCCAGGUGGCCUCUUUGGGCACCUCCAGGGCUCAGGGGGACUCGGGGUGAAUGGAGCAGAGAGGGAGCUGCGCUGUGCUUUUGGGCUGAGGAGCCAAAAGUUGUCCGAGUGGUUCCUCAGAACAACAAAGUUGCACAGAGCUCAUGUCUAUGACACCUCUACAGACGCCUCAUUAUGUAAAAUUACAUCCUUUUGAAUCUAUGCUAAAAUAAUCUCAUUUUAUAACACAGUGUUGCUGGCUAGCCAGCUCCAGCUUGCAGUGUCUAUGAUGGUGUUUCUUGUCUGGUUUCUGCACGGUUGGGAUGAAGAUGAGCCUGAGCAUCGGGCUUGGGAUGUCUGAAAAUCUGAUUCAGUUCCGGGUCUGCCCUCAGCAGUUCCUCCAUGGAUUAGGUGAGACAUUUUGCUUUUCAGUGUUUUUAACCUGGUCCUGAGGAUACUGGACUUUGCCUUUAUGUGAGCCGUGAGCCUGCCCUUGUCCACCACUAUUGCUGCGGGAGCUGCCAGUCCUGGGAGUGGCAUAAAACAUAUAUAGCUUUUUAUGGAAGAAAUCAGAAGUGGCUCUUUCAUAUUUGUAGGUGUCACACACCAACUGGCUUAUAAAUGUAACUUUAAUGCCUAAAAAGUUGAUAAUCACCUUUAUACUUGCAUACUAGCAUCGUUUUAAAGUGAAUUACCGACAUCAUAUAUUGCCUUAUUCCCCCACA